AGGACGAACGCUGGCGGCGUGCCUAACACAUGCAAGUCGAACGGAGUUGAGGAGCUUGCUCCUUAACUUAGUGGCGGACGGGUGAGUAACGCGUGAGUAACCUGCCUCUGAGAGGGGAAUAACGUUCUGAAAAGAACGCUAAUACCGCAUGACACAUAUUUGCCGCAUGACAGAUAUGUCAAAGAUUUUAUCGCUCAGAGAUGGACUCGCGUCCGAUUAGUUAGUUGGUGAGGUAACGGCUCACCAAGACCGCGAUCGGUAGCCGGACUGAGAGGUUGAACGGCCACAUUGGGACUGAGACACGGCCCAGACUCCUACGGGAGGCAGCAGUGGGGGAUAUUGCGCAAUGGGGGCAAACCCCUGACGCAGCAACGCCGCGUGAAGGAUGAAGGUUUUCGGAUUGUAAACUUCUUUUCUCAGGGACGAAUUCUGACGGUACUUGAGGAAUAAGCUCCGGCUAACUACGUGCCAGCCGCUGC
rnacentral:rRNA from 1 species